GAGGCGGUCCUGCCUCGCUGCCUUCAGUCCCUAGUGUCUGGGUCCCCGCCCUCCAGCCGCCUUUGAGUCGUGCCUGGGUCCUCGCCCUUGCCUCAGAACCGCGAAGAAAGGAAGCUCGCGUGUUUGCUAGGAAACCUAGUUGGGAGUGCGAGGCAGAGAACGUUCAGCACCUUUGUUCCUCCCGAACCCUCGGGACAGAGGCAGGGUUCUGAGGGCAGGGAUUCCCCCUCGUCUUGGCCCCACCGCCCGGGCUGGGCACUAAACUCGGGCCGCGGCGGGGCGAGCGAGGCGGGCUCCGGAGGGAGCUGACGCCUGAUGAUGGCGCAGUCCAACAUGUUCACCGUGGCUGAUGUGUUGAGUCAAGAUGAACUGCGCAAAAAGCUAUACCAGACGUUUAAGGAUCGGGGUAUACUGGAUACACUCAAGUCCACAGAGGUGUGAUGAAGUGGCAGAAUUUUUUCCUAUACUUAAUAUCCCAAUCGUAAGCUGCUGAAAUGGGCUUCUAGGGAAGUGAAGUUAUGAGUCUGCAAGCGGAUCUGGCUAACCACCCGUUUCAUUUGGAAGCUGGGGAAAGAAAGCUUUUUCUAGAACCCACUGGACUGCUUGUCUCACGGGACACAACUUCGAAACCAGCUAAUUCAUGAGUUGAUGCACCCUGUAUUGAGUGGAGAACUGCAGCCUCGGU
rnacentral:sRNA from 1 species